UACGGAGGGUGCAAGCGUUGUCCGGAAUCACUGGGUUUAAAGGGUGCGUCGGCGGGUUUAUAAGUCAGAAGUGAAAGAUUUGAGCUUAACUGAGAAAUUGCUUGUGAUACUGUAGAGCUAGAAUCUGGUUGAAGUCAGCGGAAUGUGGCAUGUAGCGGUGAAAUGCAUAGAUAUGCCAUAGAACUCCAAUAGCGAAGGCAGCUGGCUGGGCUUAGAUUGACGCUGAGGCACGAAAGCUUGUGGAGCGAACAGG
rnacentral:rRNA from 1 species